UGCAGUGCUGGCAAACUACUACUCAGUUUUUGACUUUGCUUCUGUAAUCUGGGCUGCCACAGGUACACGGCAACCAGUACCUGGUGUACUUCUUGAUCAGGUCUUAGUUAGGCUGCAGUCAUAG
rfam:Tyto alba contig48898, whole genome shotgun sequence.